UACGUAGGGGGCAAGCGUUGUCCGGAUUUAUUGGGCGUAAAGAGCGUGUAGGCGGCCAAGCAGGUCCGCUGUGAAAACUCGAGGCUCAACCUCGAGACGUCGGUGGAAACCGUUUGGCUAGAGUCCGGAAGAGGAGAGUGGAAUUCCCGGUGUAGCGGUGAAAUGCGCAGAGAUCCGGAAGAACACCGGUGGCGAAGGCGGUCUGCUGGGCAGUUGCUGACACUGAGGCGCGACAGCGUGGGGAGCAAACAGG
rnacentral:rRNA from 1 species